rnacentral:piRNA from 1 species
UCAAUAAAGGAGUGUGACCUGGAAGUUGU